GUGUGACCACUGCCUCUACAUCAUUGCCAACAAAAUUGUCAUAAGCAGCAUCCUGGACCCAGUUCAGCCCGGCCAAUGAUGUCAACACCCUCAAAAAGAACCUCCAAAGACACCCGUGAAGAAGAGGCUGCAGACCCCACGAUACAAGUUAUAGGCCUGGAACAAGUUUAAGCUCGUCUUCAGACUCUUGACAGUGAAGAUGUAGCAUGCAUGGCAAGAGUCAGACAAUUGUCUUUGAAACAAAACUUUUACCACUUUUCAAGCUCUGCCAGAUCUGUGGCCAAGCAGUCUUGCACACAGACAUCUAUUAUUUGGGAGCACAAUUGAGGGUUGAUGUGGGAUUGUAUCAAUGAACACUCAGGUACCUGGACAUCAUUCCCUGAUAUAAGAGGUAUGCCAGAGAGCAAUUUUCUGCCUGCCGCAUAUCUUUUAUUCACAGGGUGGCACAUACACAACAAUGGAGCAAUGGUCAAGGCUUCUGAACAUGUUUGUCAGGACCACAUUCUAUGCGAUACAGAACGCCUAACAGUGCAAUCUCCAGAGGAACUGUUGUCUGACAAGGCUGUGCACCCAACAAGCACGAAAUGAGGAGGACGAGCAAGGGAUACAAGGAAGGUGUCAUUGGGGCCCAGCUCUCAAACACACAAGAAAGAACAGUAUUUCACCAUCAUCUGCUUGAUCUCCAAAAAAGCAUUCCUUACCCGAGGAGACUUCAAUAGAUGACUAUCCCGUGAAAUAAAGAAAAAGGAACACUCUUUUUCUGCAUUGUCUGAUCAUUUAGUCUGCAUGUUUUUUGCCUUUUUCUUUAUAUCCUGGGAUAGUCACUUGUUGAAGUGUCCAUGGGUAAGGAAUGUUUUGGGGGGAUUUCCUAGGCCCGAAGUCAAGCACCUGAUUCCUUUUUUGUUUUUCUCUUUUUGUUUCAAGCUGGGCUGUCACAUCCUGACCUUAGUUCCUUUUUUAUGUCUCUAUUUUAGUUUGGUCAGGGCGUGAGUUGGGGUGGGCAUUCUAUGUUGUUGUUCAAUGUUUUUAUAUUUCUGUGUUUGGCCUAGUAUGGUUCCCAAUCAGAGGCAGCUGUUUGUCAUUGUCUCUGAUUGAGAACCAUACUUAGGUUGAUUUGUGGGUAGUUGUUUUCUGUCUUUGUUUUAGUGACCAGACGUAACUGUUUCGGUUGUUCUUUUUGUUUACUUUGUAUUGUGGUGUUCAGUUCAAUUUAAUAAAAUGACGAACACUUA